rnacentral:rRNA from 1 species
CGGCGAGUGAAGCGGCAACAGCUCAAAUUUGAAAUCUGGCUCUUUCAGGGUCCGAGUUGUAAUUUGCAGAGGGCGCUUUGGCGUUGGCAGCGGUCCAAGUUCUUUGGAACAGGACGUCACAGAGGGUGAGAAUCCCGUACGUGGUCGCUAGCCUUCGCCGUGUAAAGCCCCUUCGACGAGUCGAGUUGUUUGGGAAUGCAGCUCUAAAUGGGAGGUAAAUUUCUUCUAAAGCUAAAUACUGGCCAGAGACCGAUAGCGCACAAGUAGAGUGAUCGAAAGAUGAAAAGCACUUUGGAAAGAGAGUCAAAUAGCACGUGAAAUUGUUGAAAGGGAAGCGCUUGCAGCCAGACUUGCCUGUAGUUGCUUAUCUGGACUUUUGUCCGGUGCACUCUUCUGCGGGCAGGCCAGCAUCAGUUUGGGCGGUUGGAUAAAGGUCUCUGUCAUGUACCUCCUUUCGGGGAGGCCUUAUAGGGGAGACGACAUGCAACCAGCCUGGACUGAGGUCCGCGCAUCUGCUAGGAUGCUGGCGUAAUGGCUGUAAGCGGCCCGUCUUGAAACACGGACCAAGGAGUCUAACAUCUAUGCGAGUGUUUGGGUGUCAAGCCCAGACGCGUAAUGAAAGUGAACGGAGGUGGGAACCCUUUGGGUGCACCAUCGACCGAUCCUGAUGUCUUCGGAUGGAUUUGAGUAAGAGCAUGGCUGUUGGGACCCGAAAGAUGGUGAACUAUGCUUGAAUAGGGUGAAGCCAGAGGAAACUCUGGUGGAGGCUCGCAGCGGUUCUGACGUGCAAAUCGAUCGUCAAAUUUGGGCAUAGGGGCGAAAGACUAAUCGAACUAUCUAGUAGCUGGUUCCUGCCGAAGUUUCCCUCAGGAUAGCAGUAACGUAUUCAGUUUUAUGAGGUAAAGCGAAUGAUUAGAGGCCUGGGGGUUGAAACAACCUUCACCUAUUCUCAAACUUUAAAUAUGUAAGAAGUCCUUGUUACUUGAUUGAACGUGGACACUUGAAUGUACCGUUACUAGUGGGCCAUUUUUGGUAAGCAGAACUGGCGAUGCGGGAUGAACCGAACGCGGGGUUAAGGUGCCAGAAUAUACGCUCAUCAGACACCACAAAAGGUGUUAGUUCAUCUAGACAGCAGGACGGUGGCCAUGGAAGUCGGAAUCCGCUAAGGAGUGUGUAACAACUCACCUGCCGAAUGAACUAGCCCUGAAAAUGGAUGGCGCUCAAGCGUAUUACCCAUACCCCGCCGCCGGGGCAGAAUUUAUGCCCCGGCGAGUAGGCAGGCGUGGAGGCUCGUG